CAUGUAGGCGGUUCUGUAAGUCCGUUGUUAAAGCUCCUGGCUCAACUGGGGGAGGUCAAUGGAGACUACAGGACUUGAGGGCAACAGAGGCACAUGGAACUCCCGGUGUAGCGGUGGAAUGCGUAGAGAUCGGGAAGAACACCCGUGGCGAAGGCGGUGUGCUGGGUUGCAACUGACGCUGAGAUGCGAAAGUGUGGGUAGCAAACG
rnacentral:rRNA from 1 species